rnacentral:tRNA from 1 species
GUGUCGACCGGCAGUUCCAGCCUCGCCAGCUCCGGGUUGGCCGCGGCCUCGGCGCUCUUGACGACCAGGACGUGCGAGAAGCCCUCGGCACUC